rnacentral:rRNA from 1 species
ACCCGCACAAGCAGCGGAGCGUGUGGUUUAAUUCGAUGCUACACGAAGAACCUUACCAGGGUUUGACAUGCAAGUGGUAGGAAUCUGAAAAGGGACCGACCCUUCGGGGAGCUUGCACAGGUGCUGCAUGGCUGUCGUCAGCUCGUGUCGUGAGAUGUUCGGUUAAGUCCGCUAACGAGCGCAACCCUCACUGUGUGUUAUAUGUGUCACACGGGACUGCCGGUUUUAAGCCGGAGGAAGUGGGGAUGACGUCAAGUCAGCAUGGCCUUUAUAUCCUGGGCUACACACACGCUACAAUGGUCGGUACAAUAGGUUGCCAAGCCGCGAGGCGGAGCCAAUCCACAAAGCCGGCCUCAGUUCAGAUUGUAGGCUGCAACUCGCCUGCACGAAGAUGGAGUUGCUAGUAACCGCAGGUCAGCAAUACUGCGGUGAAUACGUUCCCGGGUCUU